rnacentral:tRNA from 1 species
AGCCCCGUAGUGUAGUGGCCAAACCUCACUUGCGUUCGGAUGACCGGACGUAAGCGUCGCGGUCAAUCAUCCAAGGCCCUGGACCUUGGGACCUCGGUUCGAAUCCGGGCGGGGCUA